rnacentral:rRNA from 1 species
AUUGAACGCUGGCGGCAGGCCUAACACAUGCAAGUCGAGCGGAUGAAGAGGGCUUGCUCUCUGAUUCAGCGGCGGACGGGUGAGUAAUGCCUAGGAAUCUGCCUGGUAGUGGGGGACAACGUUUCGAAAGGAACGCUAAUACCGCAUACGUCCUACGGGAGAAAGCAGGGGACCUUCGGGCCUUGCGCUAUCAGAUGAGCCUAGGUCGGAUUAGCUAGUAGGUGAGGUAAUGGCUCACCUAGGCGACGAUCCGUAACUGGUCUGAGAGGAUGAUCAGUCACACUGGAACUGAGACACGGUCCAGACUCCUCCGGGAGGCAGCAGUGGGGAAUAUUGGACAAUGGGCGAAAGCCUGAUCCAGCCAUGCCGCGUGUGUGAAGAAGGUCUUCGGAUUGUAAAGCACUUUAAGUUGGGAGGAAGGGCAGUAAGUUAAUACCUUGCUGUUUUGACGUUACCAACAGAAUAAGCACCGGCUAACUUCGUGCCAGCAGCCGCAGUAAAAC